CUUCAACUUAAAAAAAAAAAAAAAAAAAAAAAAAGAAAGUUAAAAAUUACUAAAAAUUGUUUGGUAAUUGAAAAGAUCUUUUAAAAUCAAUUUUUAGUCCCUAAGAAAAAGUUGGCCGGAGAAAAUAUAAGAAUUGUUAUCUUUUUGUGACUUUUAACUUUUCACUUAAAAGUCUUAAAGACAAGCCAAAUACAUUUUAAACAUUAUCUUUUAAAAAAAAUUAUUAAAAGUCUUUUUUAUAAUUUUUUAUAAAUAGGACUUUUAUUUUUUAAAAAGCAAUCCCAAACAAACCCAUACCCAUAACGAACGGGUGAAGAAGAAUAUGACCGCGUCAAGCCCUAUUACCCCAAAAAAAUUAUUAGUUAGCAAAAAUAGUCCCUACAAUUGUAGCCAAAAAUUAAAAUCGGGCAUUUCAUAAAAACCCUUACAAACCUAGUCCCAUGUGAUUUAGUCUUUUCAAAAAUGGUCCCCAAACUAUUUUAAAAUAUCAAAAUGGUCCCUUUGUGUAAAAUUAAUUACAAAAUAACCUUUUCUUUUAAAUAUAAAAUAUUUGAAAACAAGCCCAUUUAGUUUAAAACAUUACCAAAUAAACUCGUGAACGUUUUAAAGUCCAAGAAAGAUGCCUUCGCGGUUAUUCACGAAAAGCUUCACCAAAACGAAUCGGGAUCGAGAUCACGCUACGAAAGUUAUUUAGCAGGACAGAAGUGUUCGCUCAGAAGACUCUCUGUUAUUUAUAUUAUAUUUUUGAAAAUGUCGGAUUGUUAGGUGUGUGUGUCACGAUUUAACAAUAAUCAUUGUUAAUGUGAUUUAUAUUUCUGUAAUAAUAGAAGAUUAUAUUUGUACAAUUCAAUGUAUGUUUAAGAAUUAUGAUUA